rnacentral:rRNA from 1 species
AUGGAGUCCUCCAAGAAGAACCUCUGCGAGAUCCACCGCAGCGACGGACGCCGCAGGCGCGUCCUCGCCGCCUCCCUCCUCGGCGCCGCGGUCGUCGCGGCCGUCAUCGCGCUCGCGCUCUUCCUCGUCUACCGCCCCAUGAAGCCGCAGGCCACCGUGGCGCGCGCCGGCGUGUACCACCUCGUGAGCGCCACCACCAACGGCACCAACAACUCGGCGGCGACGCCCUACGCGCUGUCCGCCACCGUGCAGUUCACGCUGCUGCUGCACAACCCCAGCGACCGCACCGCGGUGGUCUACGACCGGCUCCUCGCCUACGUGACGUACCGCGGCGAGAUGGUGGCCCCGCCGGCGCAGCUCCCGCUGGUGCUCCAGGACCCCGGCGCCGACGUGGCGGUGUCGCCGCUGCUGGGAGGCGACGGGGGCGCCCCCGUGCCGGUGUCGGCGGACGCGGUGGACGCGCUGCACGCGGACUGCGUGGCGGGGCGCGUGCAGCUCCGGCUCGUCGUCAUGGGGCGGGUCAGGUACAGGUCCGGGCCGUUCAAGAGCGCGUGGCGCGACCUGUACGUGCGGUGCGACGCCAUCCUCGGCCUGACCGUGCAGGCAGCUGCCGGAGGCGGCGGCGCCGGGGACGUGCCGCUGCUCGAGUACCCAAAGUGCGCCGUGGACGCCUGA